UACGUAGGUGGCAAGCGUUAUCCGGAUUUACUGGGUGUAAAGGGCGUGUAGGCGGGACUGCAAGUCAGAUGUGAAAACCACGGGCUCAACCUGUAGCCUGCAUUUGAAACUGUAGUUCUUGAGUACUGGAGAGGCAGACGGAAUUCCUAGUGUAGCGGUGAAAUGCGUAGAUAUUAGGAGGAACACCAGUGGCGAAGGCGGUCUGCUGGACAGCAACUGACGCUGAGGCGCGAAAGCGUGGGGAGCAAACAGG
rnacentral:rRNA from 1 species